rnacentral:rRNA from 1 species
UGCAGUGGAGCGACGAACCAGGGCUUGCCCUGGGGCAGAGCCGCGAACGGGUGAGUAACACGUGGGUAACGUGCCCCGAUGACUGGGACAACCCGGGGAAACCCGGGCUAAUACCGGAUAUGCCCCCUCACAUCAGUGAGGUGUGUAAAGGAAGCUUCGGCCUCCGCAUCGGGAUCGGCCCGCGGCGCAUUAGCUUGUUGGUGAGGUAACGGCUCACCAAGGCAACGAUGCGUAGCUGGUCUGAGAGGACGAUCAGCCACACUGGGACUGAGACACGGCCCAGACUCCUACGGGAGGCAGCAGUGGGGAAUCUUGCACAAUGCGCGAAAGCGUGAUGCAGCAACGCCGCGUGCGGGAAGACGGCCUUCGGGUUGUAAACCGCUUUCAGUUGGGACGAAGGUCGAGUGGUUAAUAGCCAUUUCGGCUGACGGUACCUUCACAAGAAGCCCCGGCUAACUACGUGCCAGCAGCCGCGGUAAUACGUAAGGGGCAAGCGUUGUCCGGAAUCAUUGGGCGUAAANAGCGUGUAGGCGGCCUGAUAAGUCGGUUGUGAAAGUCAAGGGCUCACCCUUGAAUGNCGACCGAUACUGUCAGGCUAGAGUCCGGAANANGCGAGUGNAUUCCUGGNGGUAGCGGGUGAAAUGCGCAGAUAUCAGGGAGGAACACCUAUGGGCNAAGGCAGCUCGCUGGGNCNGGUACUGACGCUGA